UACGUAGGGACCAAGCGUUGUCCGGAAUCAUUGGGCGUAAAGAGCGUGUAGGCGGCUUGUUAAGUCUUGCGUGAAAUCUCGGGGCUCAACCCCGAGCGGUCGUGAGAAACUGGCAGGCUAGAGUGCGGGAGAGGAGAGUGGAAUUCCUGGUGUAGCGGUGAAAUGCGCAGAUAUCGUAAGGAAGACCAGUGGCGAAGGCGGGUCUCGUGGACAGUUCCUGACGCUGAGGCACGAAGGUCAGGGGAGCAAACGGG
rnacentral:rRNA from 1 species